rnacentral:rRNA from 1 species
UACGGGGGGGGGCAAGCGUUGUUCGGAAUUACUGGGCGUAAAGGGCUCGUAGGUGGCCAACUAAGUCAGACGUGAAAUCCCUCAGCUUAACUGGGGAACUGCGUCUGAUACUGGAUGGCUUGAGUUUGGGAGAGGGAUGCGGAAUUCCAGGUGUAGCGGUGAAAUGCGUAGAUAUUCGGAAGAACACCAGUGGCGAAGGCGGCUCACUGGCCCGGUACUGACGCUGAGGUGCGAAAGCGUGGGGAGCAAACAGG